CCUACGGGCGGCUGCAGUGGGGAAUAUUGGACAAUGGGCGAAAGCCUGAUCCAGCCAUGCCGCGUGUGUGAAGAAGGCCUUCGGGUUGUAAAGCACUUUCAGUGGGGAAGAAAGCCUUGGGGCUAAUACCCUCGAGGAAGGACAUCACCCACAGAAGAAGCACCGGCUAACUCCGUGCCAGCAGCCGCGGUAAUACGGAGGGUGCGAGCGUUAAUCGGAAUUACUGGGCGUAAAGCGCGCGUAGGCGGUCUGAUAAGCCGGUUGUGAAAGCCCCGGGCUCAACCUGGGAACGGCAUCGAAACUGUCAGGCUAGAGUGCGGGAGAGGAAGGUAGAAUUCCCGGUGUAGCGGUGAAAUGCGUAGAGAUCGGGAGGAAUACCAGUGGCGAAGGCGGCCUUCUGGACUGACACUGACGCUGAGGUGCGAAAGCGUGGGUAGCAAACAGGAUUAGAUACCCUAGUAGUC
rnacentral:rRNA from 1 species